GGAGGAGGAGGAGGAGGAGGAGAAGGGUUCGCUUAAUAAAGACGACCAUGGCAACCUGGUGUGAGGAGACACUUCAUGUCACAUGGAUGUACUAACUUACUGUCAACCUCUAAAUCAUCACUUCCUUGUGUGCUCUACUUCACAAUAUAACCAGGGAUUACUUGUAUUGUAUUACUCUGAUUCAUCAAAGGACAUGUACCACCUUUAUUUACCCACUGCAAUAUCCUUAAGGAGACAUUUUUAAAAUCAAGUCUGAUUCUAAUACAGGAGUGCAAAGGGCAAAUAGAAAUCAGGGAGUUGUGUUCAGGCUGUGACAACCACAUCAGGAACUAGAGCGAUAUAAUAAUGCAAGGGCGUUGGACAUCUGAGUCAGUGCUGGUCGUUGGCUGGAAAAAGAUUGUAUGGAUCCCUCUUUGUUUAGGCUGAGCAGAAGCUGUGGAAAUAUGUAGAAGGAAUUUUUCUUUUCACUUUCUCACCCUCUUUAUCAGUGUUCUAUUGAUAGAGGCACAGUGUGUGUGUAUUUGUGCAGCGCGUGCACAUGUGUAUCUAUAGGUGAUGGGCAAUUUUGGUUCAAUACCGUCAUUGUGAGGACAUUUUGGCUGGUUCUCACAAAUUCAAUGGGCUGUUUGAGGGUUAAGAUUUGGUCUUAGGGUUAGGGUUGGAAUGAGUGUGGAAAGUUUCAGGACAAUGUCAUGUCUGAGUUCAUGUCUGAAAGCAGCUCAUGCCUCAAUGCUUUCCUCGGCUGUUGCUCUCUGUAAUAGGCCCCCCGCGCUCCUGCUGAUAAUAUCAAACCAAAGCUUCAGUAAUCAUUAUUAUGCACGAGGCGGGACAGACCCAAAAUUGCACUUGUUGGUUUUUUUGUAGCGUAUUUUACGAGACGCCCCUAAAUGAAGAAUCACAAGAGAAUAUUACUCUUAAAUGACAGGAUUUAAGAUUAAGAUUAUAAAAUCAUGUAGCAUAUAACUGUAUAUAUAAAUGUAUUGAAAGUCUUGAGGUCUUUGGUCUGUCUGAUUUUAAUCGAAUGUUACUGAGAAAAUCCAACCCUUGCUAAUUUCAUAUCCUCAUUCUAGCCACUGAGAAAGUACCGAUUAUACUUCCCAGAGUGUCACAUGAUCUCACUGUUCGGCCAAAGCGGGAUAGUAAAUGCUAUGUUUGUUUGACGAACUGCGACGUGUACUCAUUCGACAUUUGGCAGUAAAUGGCAGCUUAGCUUCACCCUCUGAGACAAGUCUUCAGUUUCAUUAUUAUCUCUAUCUGACGGCAGAUCAGGUCGUCCAUAUCUUAAGGAUUUCUGAAUCAUUUUGGCCUAAGUUGUAGCAGGUCACAAGGAAGCUGUAUCCUAGGUGUGGACUAAAACCACCUGUGACCUUUCUUGAUGCUUUGGGUCAAUCAUUAACUUUUAGUGGAGGAAAAACAGGAUCUGUAUGAACUUUGAAUAUCUCCUCUACUUUUAUGUUCUGGCAAUUUGAAAACCAUAACAUGAGCCUGCGAGAACUGUUUUGUACAUACUGUAAUGUUUUUUUAAUUUUUGUAAUGAUUUUUGAUAAAAUUGUUGAGUCCUGCUGUGUGGAUGCAGAUUGCGUGUGAGGGUAAAAAUGAAAGCUGUGAUAGGACUGUAUACUUCUUGUUGUGAUUAACAUGAACUAUAGGAGCUGUGAUCUCUUAAUGUGACUCAAAUAAACCACAAACAAAAAGA